CGGAGUGUGCCUGGGAUUGGUUAGACAACAGUAGAGUAGGUAAUCAGUUUACUCGUCGUAUCAAACGCACGGAAUGAACCGAUCCAAUAUCAGUAUGUCACUUGAAAUGCGUCGACUCGGUUCGGCUGGUCGUGUCGGUAGCACUAUCGUCGUCGAAAAAUUGCACAAAGUUUAUCCUUCCGCUAUCUUUUAUUGAGCUAUUUAUUUUAUUUGAACUGUAUUUUAAGAGAAGAAAGCGUUAAUUUAUUGAUUGGAGAUAUCUGUCAAGUACCGAGGCUCAUCUCUUUGGAAGAAGAAAAUUUUUCGGUCCAAGUAGGCUCGGCGUGAUAGGACGGAAGCUAGAGACAGACAGCUCUUUUAUCCAGAAAAGUGGCGUGUUGUCGGAAGUAGGUAUUGUGUGUGCGUCGUGAAUCGGUUCUGAAUAGAUAUUGUUCUGGUGUCCAAGUGCGUGUGGUGGAAUUAAUUGUGUAUCGGUCGCUUACAAAAGCACCAGCUCGAUUUCUAUUGGCAGCUAUUUCGUGUGCCCCGCGAGUGUGUUAGUGGUGCAGUAUCGGUGUGUAUUGUUUCUUCACCUAUUUGGGGCCAGCUUCCCGGCCCGACCGCUUCCACGGUCGAUGUGUGUUCAUUUUGCCGAAGGUUUCUUUUGCCCCCCGGUAAAAGAUAAAAUUGACGUAACAUCACUGCAGCAGCGGUUGAUCGUGUAUGUGGUGAAGUAGCUUCGGUAUCGGUGCCCCAGUGUAUAAAUUAUUUAACCUCAAAGUGCGAAAUAUUUGCAGUUCUGCAAUUAAAAUCAAAACAAAUCGGUCUCGUGUUCUGAUGCAGUGGCCGUCGUGGUAAUGUUCAUCCUUUAGAGCGCAUUUCGCGAAGUUUAGUGUUAGUGUUACCUAAAAUUGUGUAUAGUGAAGAUAAAAGUGCGUAAAACCAUGACCCUGUCACUACGUUUGCUAGUGCUCGGGGCACUGUUGUUGGCAUAUAUUGGUCCCCUGGUCAAGGCCACUAAACUUGGUAAAGCCGCUCCGGAUGAUGCGGCCCUGCUCAAAGAGGAUACUCUCCAGAGCAACAUGCUGCCAGAGGAGGAACCGUUGCAUGUUACCAAAGGGCCGAAGAACUCGAUCGGCAAGCCUACCAAGGCUCCACCCUUUUCUGCUGGCAAGGGAACAUCGCCGCUCAUGAAAGGAUCCGGAAAUGAAUUGAACACAACCCUGCAGUGCUCGGAGCGCCAGUUUCACUGCAACGAUGGCCACUGCAUACACGCGAGCUUCAUCUGCGAUGGCGAAGCGGACUGUGCUGACGGAAGCGACGAGGAUCCGCGCGAGUGCAAAAUUACAGAAACCAAUUGUUCCGAUGACAAGUUUCGGUGCAAAAGCGGCCGCUGCAUUCCGAAGCACUGGCAGUGCGAUGGGGAAAACGACUGCACCGACGGUUCCGAUGAGGAUUCGGAAAAGUGCCAGAGCAAGGUGUGCUCGUCGGAGGAGUUCACCUGUCGCAGCGGAACCGGUACCUGCAUUCCGCUAGCGUGGAUGUGCGACCAGAACCGGGACUGUCCGGACGGAUCGGACGAGAUGUCGUGCAAUGAAACCUGCCGCUCGGACGAGUUCACCUGUUCCAACGGACGGUGCAUCCAGAAGAGGUGGCAGUGCGACCGGGAUGACGACUGCGGUGACAACAGCGACGAGAAGGACUGCCAGGCAACGACGUGCGAUCCGUUGAAGCAGUUCGCCUGCUCGGAGAAUUACUGUAUCACGGCCAAGUGGCGCUGCGACGGUGAACCGGACUGUCCGGAUGGAUCGGAUGAGCGGGGCUGCACCAAUCCCACUCCGCCAACGGUGAACCCGUGUCUCUCGUUGGAAUACCAGUGCAACGAUCGGAUAACCUGCAUCCACAAGAGCUGGAUCUGCGAUGGCGAGAAGGACUGCCCCCAGGGAGAUGAUGAAAUGCCACCGAUUUGUCAGAACGUCACCUGCCGGGCGGAUCAGUUCCAGUGCAAGAAGGACAAAACCUGUAUCAAUGGGCGUUUCCACUGCAACGGGAAGUCGGACUGCUCCGACGGAAGUGACGAGCUGGAGUGCGCGAAUCGACCGGUAGUUAAAUGUAAUUCGAAGACAGAGUUCGACUGCGGUGGUGGAAUGUGUAUUCCGCUGUCCAAAGUGUGCGAUAAGAAGGCAGAUUGUCCGGAGUUCCAGGAUGAACCAAGCGAUAAGUGCGGGAAAAACGAGUGCUUGCAGAAUAAUGGCGGAUGUUCUCACGUAUGCGUGGAUACGCCCGCUGGAUACUACUGUGACUGUAAGCCUGGUUACAAACUGGUGGACAACCGAACCUGUGAGGACAUCGACGAAUGUCAGGAGGCCGGUUCCUGUUCCCAAAAGUGUACCAACGAGAUCGGAACGUUCAAGUGCGAAUGUAUUGCUGGAUAUUUGAGAGAUCCGCGGGACCACACCAAGUGUAAGGCUACCGAAGGACACGCGUCGCUUCUGUUUGCUAGAAGACACGACAUCCGAAAGAUUUCGUUGGACCAUCGCGAGAUGACGUCGAUCGUGAACGAUACCAAGUCGGCGACGGCGCUGGAUUUCGUCUUCCGUACCGGGAUGAUCUACUGGAGUGAUGUUUCCGAGCAGCGAGUUUACAAGGCACCGAUUGAUGAGGGAUCAGACAAAACGGUAGUAGUGAAAGAUCAAACUGUUACUUCGGACGGGCUGGCGGUUGACUGGAUCUAUAACCACAUCUACUUUACCGACAUCAAGAAAUCGACCAUUGAGCUGACGAACUUCGACGGCAACAUGGGAAAGAUUUUAAUCAAAGACGAUUUGGAGAUCCCUCGGGCGAUUGCUCUGGAUCCAAUUGAAGGAUGGAUGUACUGGACCGACUGGGGAACUAGCCCACGCAUCGAACGUGCCGGUAUGGAUGGAACUCACCGACAGGUCAUUGUCAACUACGAAGUUAAGUGGCCCAACGGAAUCACGUUGGAUUUGGUGCGGAAGCGUGUCUAUUGGGUUGAUGCCAAGUUGAAUGUUAUCUCGUCGUGCAACUACGAUGGAACGCAGCGAACGGUUGUUCUCUACUCGGCCGACUAUCUUCGGCAUCCGUUUUCGAUCACAACCUUCGAGGAUUACGUAUACUGGACCGAUUGGGACAAAGAAGCAGUGUUCAAGGCAAACAAGUUCAACGGAAAGGACAUUGAGCCGGUGACGGCCAUGCAUAUGCUGCAGCAUCCAAUGACUAUCCACGUCUAUCAUCCAUACCGUCAACCGGACGGUACCAACCACUGUCAGGCGGUCAAUGGGCAUUGCUCGCAUCUCUGUCUGCCGGCACCGCAAAUUAACAACCGAAGUCCGAAAAUAUCCUGCGCUUGUCCCACUGGUCUGAAGCUGAUGGACGAUGGACUCAUGUGUGUGGAAGACGCGCGUGCAACCACGAGGGGUCCACCAACGCAUGCCAUUCUGCCUCACAAACCCGGAACGAAUGCAACCAAAGACAACAAACAAAUCGAACAUCACUCCAGUAACAUUUACGAAAGCAGCAAGGAUAUCAUAUCAGCCUCCUCGACGGUCGACCCGUCCACGUCUUCCUCCUCGUCGUCGUCGUCGUCAUCUGCCUCUUCCCUUCCCACUGGGACGCAAGGGACCACCAACUCACCCGCUUUCACCUCAUCGCACGCUUCGCUUGCUAACAGCUUGCACAUUGCGGCCAUCUGCAGGAACCUAACACAGAUCAGCACCCUGCUGGUCAACCUCAAAUCCAUUCAAACGGUCAACAAAACCGCACUGCAUCGAUCGUACUUCAAUCGUCGCUUUUCAUGGCAGUCUACGUCGACACCGUUGCCGCCACCGCAAACUACUCAUGGACCCGCCGCCGACGAUAUAACGCUGCUACUGCUGCUCAAAGAUCACUUCGAUGAGUACUUGGAUGAGACAGACUCGACGACGACGACAACGCCGAUAGAACCAACCGCAGAACCGUCGACUUUGGACCAAGACCAAACUCAAGACCAGCAACGGACCGAGUACCGGUACUGGGAGUACCGGAAACGGUUCAACAUGCUGGAAACUUUGUUCAUGCACCGGGUGGACGACAUCGGCGGACCGGACGGGGGUAACCGGGACAUUUACGGUAACGAGCUGCAGGCGUCCUACGAGUACGUGCGGUGGCUUUGCCGGAAGUAUCAAGCUACCAUGCGAAACGGUACCGACGGAACCAUCAUCCAACCGGGUGUGGUGGAAAACGACUCCGGAGUGGUGGCCGCACUCGUUAUCGCUAUCUGCGCUGGCAUUGCCUUUGUCAUCUUUGGAAUUGCCUAUUGUGUGUACCGACACUACGUGCACCGAAACUCGACCUCGAUGAACUUUGACAAUCCGGUGUACCGGAAGACCACCGAGGACCAGUUCAGCCUGGAGAAGAACCUGCCGAACCGCAUGUACCCCAGCACGGUGGGCGAAGAGAUAAAUGCGUUCCAUUGCCGUACGUAAGCGCCAAAGCACACUACUAACAAAAAACGGUGGCUAGAAAGUCCAACUGUCAAUCGCACAGGCCCAGGAACCGCUAAACAGACCAACCACAAACGAUUUUGUCUAGUCGUAGCACGAGUGGUACGGAACAAAAUAGAAAUGAACAAAUCAGUCAACAACAACAACUAACUACUAAUACUACUACUACUACAACCACCACCAAAUCGAGAGAAAGACUUGUGUAUUUCUUCACAGAGUAAAAAAACAAAAACAAACAAACAACUAAGCCAAGAUACAAGUAGAUACAAAUGAAACCUAGCUUUCUUAAAGUGACAGACACCGGUUCGAUAUGGUGAGAAGUAUGAAGCAGCUAUUAUCAGUCCAUCCCCCAACUGUCAACUGCAUGCAUUACUUAAACACUCAACACGAUGGCAGACUAGAUUGAAACUGAUUGAUUUAGCGAGGCAGCUGGAAAUAGUCUUAAUUGUAGACAGUGUUGAACUGUCUAGUAGGCCUUGUUAGGGUUUGUUAAAUUGUUUUAUUAAUUUUUUUUUCAUUUAGGUCUUAUGGUGUAAAGCCUAUUUUCUAUUGUUUUAUUGUUGUUGCAUGAGCAUGUGUGUUGUUUUCGUAGACGAAUUGUAUAGGUAAAGGGUGGCUGCAGUUUAAACUACCAACCCUGUAGCAGGUCUUAAAGUUUACUAUUAAACCGAAUCCGUUCGGUUAGCUUUUUUUUCGUUGAAACUUUUAACAACAUGUGCUGUAUCGAAUCACAAAGACACGUGAUAUAUAUAUACAAAACAGAUAAGCACAACUUGUCCCAUUUUUUUUUUCAUUGUUCAUCCGGCCUCAGACAUAGUAGCAGCAGAUUCCGAAGAAAAGUGUUAGGCCAAGCAACGUAAAAUUUAUUGUAAAAAAGAUGAAUAUUAGCAGAAAAAGUGUUUAAUUAGACUAGAAUAGCAGAUACAACGCAGUGGUGUAGAUAUUAUUUUGUUCUAUUUUCAAAGGAAAUCGUUAAAUAAAAAAAAUAAAAGAAACUAUUCCAGCGAAAUCAUGAAAAUUUUGUCAUUUUAGUAGAUAAAUUUUAAAUCACAUUCAACUAGCGAAAGUCGUUGAUCGCAGUUUAGCAGCACAACUAGUUAUGUUGAACCACGUAAACCCCUGCAGUUUUGUACAAGUUUGUAGAGCAAAGCAUUGCAACAUCCAGUUCAGUUUCAGCCGAAGCCCCGAUAUAAGGCAAUAAUUGUUGAUUGCCCUGAUGCUUCCAAACAGAACAAACACUCCUCAAACUUAAAGCAUCACUUUCAUACCUAAAGUUUACUUGAUCGUUUCCCGCAAUCAUUAUGCUCAUCGAAACGGUAUUUGCUCAAAAUAUUUACUCCUAGCAGCAAGCGUUUUUCGUCGUUCCAUUGAAAAGUAGACGAUUUUAAUAGGAAAGAGUCAUUAGGCUCUAACAGGCACAAAGACCCUCUGAGUAAUUCUUGCCAAAUUUAGCGACUAGAAACGUUAGCCAAUUUUAUUGACGAUAACUUUAUUUUCUUAAACUAAGGCAAAUAAACAAAUUACUUUCCUUCCAAAAAAAAAAAGUAAAAACAAAUGAAAACUUUUUAGAAAUGUUUUAAGCAGGUUAAAUCAAGCGAAAAAAUAUUAUCCCAUCCUAUCCCAAAAUAAAAGGAAAUUCCUGCCAAAAAGCGACACGAAUAACUGAGUGAUCGAUUCAGUGGAAUAUUCAAUUAAAACCAACUCGAAUCGCACUAAAACUAAAUUCGAAAAUAAACAUUGAACAUUACCAGAACUGGUCUCAUGAGGUUCGAAAAUAAAUUGAACAAAUGUUCUGUAGUUUCGAUUGAUGGAGGAGAGAAGCUAUACUCAAAUACAAAAUCACACUAAAACAAACAUCGGAAAACAAUUUGACAUGAGCAUCACACAAACACACUCUCGCAAAGACAGAGUAAUUCAAGAAAAAAAAAAGCAAAAUAACAUCAUCUUUUUUGAUAUUUUGUACAUACAAUCGACCUAUACCCCAAAUGAGAUCGAAGAAAAACUAACAAAAAUUCAUACUCGAGUACUCUUUAAAAAAAACAAAUAACGUAAAUAAAACAAAUUAUAUACAUUAACAGGGGGAAAAGCCAACAAGUUAUAGUUUAUGCCGUGUCCCACAGAAGAAGAACAGCAAAAAAAAUCCGGUCAACAGCACAAUGCGACAAAGACCGCGGCAGAGUAGUAAACAGGAUGCAACAAAUGAGAUGGAACUUAUUGUUUUUGUUUUGUAUAUAUUGAGGUGACACGACACACAAAGAAAACAAACUGUAAGCGGCAGAUGCAAAUGAUACAAGUAAAUAAAAAGGAAACGUAAUGUACUGUAAUAAAA